CCUACGGGAGGCAGCAGUAGGGAAUCUUCCACAAUGGACGAAAGUCUGAUGGAGCAACGCCGCGUGAACGAUGAAGGCCUUCGGGUCGUAAAGUUCUGUUGUAAGGGAAGAACAAGUGCCGCAGGCAAUGGCGGCACCUGACAUACCUGCUAGUAGCUCAC
rnacentral:rRNA from 1 species